rnacentral:sRNA from 1 species
ACUCAACAGAGAUUCUUUAAAAGAGGUGAGUUAGUGUUGUUAAAGCAUGCCGUCCUAGUAACGGAUCCUUGAUCAACAUAUUAGCCUCAAACGUGUUUUAAGGAGUUU